rnacentral:sRNA from 1 species
AGAGUGAGUUCCAGGUGGGAAGGCAGUUAUGACAGUUGAGAAGUAGUAGAAGACACGGAAGGCACAGAAGGCAGACUUCGCUCAGCACAAAGAAGAAUUUUCUGAUAACCAUACUGGCAAAAUGAACUGGGCUGCCUUCGGAGGGUCUGAAUUCUUCAUCCCAGAAGGCAUUCAGAUAGAUUCGAGAUGCCCACUAAGCAGAAAUAUCACGGAAUGGUACCAUUACUAUGGCAUUGCAGUGAAAGAAAGCUCCCAAUAUUAUGAUGUGAUGUAUUCCAAGAAAGGAGCUGCCUGGGUGAGUGAGACGGGCAAGAAAGAAGUGAGCAAACAGACAGUGGCAUAUUCACCCCGGUCCAAACUCGGAACACUGCUGCCAGAAUUUCCCAAUGUCAAAGAUCUAAAUCUGCCAGCCAGCCUGCCUGAGGAGAAGGUUUCUACCUUUAUUAUGAUGUACAGAACACACUGUCAGAGAAUACUGGACACUGUAAUAAGAGCCAACUUUGAUGAGAUCCAGUCCACUGGGAGAUCCUGUCAGCUCCACCUUCUGCAGGGAAACACUGCAUCUGUCCAUUUCAUGCCUAACUUCCAAGCCUUAGUGCUUG